rnacentral:ribozyme from 1 species
ACAGAAAGGCGGAAAUAAGCUGAAAUAGGAAUUAGCGAAUUAUAUAUUCUUAUUUAUAAUUUAUUUAUUUAUUUAUAAUUAAUUAGAAAGAA